rnacentral:rRNA from 1 species
CAAUAGCGUAUAUUAAAGUUGUUGCAGUUAAAAAGCUCGUAGUUGAAUUUUUGCUUGCCGCCGAUGUCGGAACUUCCGUACGUUCGGCGGCGUGCAUCCUUGGGUGGAACCUGUGUGGCAUUAGGUUGUCGUGCAGGGGAUGCUCAUCGUUUACUGUGAAAAAACUAGAGUGUUCAAAGCAGGCUUACGCCGUUGAAUAUAUUAGCAUGGAAUAAUAAGAUAGGACCUUGGUACUAUUUUGUUGGUUUGCGCACCGAGGUAAUGAUUAACAGGGACAGUUGGGGGUAUUCGUAUUCCAUUGUCAGAGGUGAAAUUCUUGGAUUUAUGAAAGACGAACUUCUGCGAAAGCAUUUGCCAAGGAUGUUUUCAUUA